rnacentral:rRNA from 1 species
CUACCCUUGACAUGGAAGGAAUCCCGGAGAGAUUUGGGAGUGCCCGAAAGGGAGCCUUCACACAGGUGCUGCAUGGCUGUCGUCAGCUCGUGUCGUGAGAUGUUGGGUUAAGUCCCGCAACGAGCGCAACCCUUGUCAUUAGUUGCUACGCAAGAGCACUCUAAUGAGACUGCCGGUGACAAACCGGAGGAAGGUGGGGAUGACGUCAAGUCCUCAUGGCCCUUAUAGGUAGGGCUUCACACAUCAUACAAUGGUACAUACAGAGGGCCGCCAACCCGCGAGGGGGAGCUAAUCCCAGAAAGUGUAUCGUAGUCCGGAUCGUAGUCUGCAACUCGACUACGUGAAGUUGGAAUCGCUAGUAAUCGCGGAUCAGCAUGCCGCGGUGAAUA